rnacentral:piRNA from 1 species
UCCUUUCCUGUGUCUGUAAACUGGAGGUA